rnacentral:rRNA from 1 species
UACGUAGGGUGCAAGCGUUGUCCGGAAUUUAUUGGGCGUAAAGAGCUCGUAGGCGGUUUGUCGCGUCUGCUGUGAAAACUCAGGGCUUAACCCUGAGCCUGCAGUGGGUACGGGCAGACUAGAGUGUGGUAGGGGGAGAUCGGAAUUCCUGGUGUAGCGGUGGAAUGCGCAGGAUAUCAGGAGGAACACCGGUGGCGAAGGCGGAUC